rnacentral:rRNA from 1 species
UAGGGAAUCUUCGGCAAUGGACGAAAGUCUGACCGAGCAACGCCGCGUGAGUGAAGAAGGGUUUCGGAUCGUAAAACUCUGUUGUUAGAGAAGAACAAGGACGUUAGUAACUGAACGUCCCCUGACGGUAUCUAACCAGAAAGCCACGGCUAACUACGUGCCAGCAGCCGCGGUAAUACGUAGGUGGCAAGCGUUGUCCGGAUUGAUUGGGCGUAAAGCGAGCGCAGGCGGUUUCUUAAGUCUGAUGUGAAAGCCCCCGGCUCAACCGGGGAGGGUCAUUGGAAACUGGGAGACUUGAGUGCAGAGGAGGGGAGUGGAAUUCCAUGUGUAGCGGUGAAAUGCGUAGAUAUAUGGAGGAACACCAGUGGCGAAGGCGGCUCUCUGGUCUGUAACUGACGCUGAGGCUCGAAAGCGUGGGGAGCAAACAGG